rnacentral:rRNA from 1 species
UACGAGGGGGGCAAGUGUUGUUCGGAAUCACUGGGCGUAAAGGGAGCGUAGGCGGAUGUUUAAGUUGGAUGUUUAAAACCGGGGCCUAACCUCGGAGCGGCAUCUGAAACUGGGCAUCUUGAGUAGGUCAGAGGCUGGUGGAAUUGGAGGUGUAGCGGUGGAAUGCGUAGAGAUCUCUAAGAACACCUAUUGCGAAGGCAGCCAGCUGGGACCAUAUUGACGCUGAGGCUCGAAAGCGUGGGGAGCAAACAGG